AUUGAACGCUGGCGGCAUGCUUUACACAUGCAAGUCGAACGGUAACAGGCCUUCGGGUGCUGACGAGUGGCGAACGGGUGAGUAAUGCAUCGGAACGUACCCAGAGGUGGGGGAUAACGCAGCGAAAGCUGUGCUAAUACCGCAUGUGAUCUGAGGAUGAAAGCGGGGGACCGCGCAGCAAUGUUUGGCCUCGCGCCUUUGGAGCGGCCGAUGUCGGAUUAGCUAGUUGGUGGGGUAAAGGCCUACCAAGGCGACGAUCCGUAGCUGGUCUGAGAGGAAGACAAGCCACGUGGGGACUGCGACACGGCCCAGACUCCUACGGGAGGCAGCAGUGGGGAAUUUUGGACAAUGGGCGCAAGCCUGAUCCAGCAAUGCCGCGUGCGGGAAGAAGGCCUUCGGGUUGUAAACCGCUUUUGGCAGGAACGAAACGGUGUCCGCUAAUACCGGGCGCUAAUGACGGUACCUGCAGAAUAAGCACCGGCUAACUACGUG
rnacentral:rRNA from 1 species